GAUGAAGAACGCAGCGAAAUGCGAUAAGUAAUGCGAAUUGCAGAAUUUCCGUGAGUCAUCGAAUCUUUGAACGCACAUUGCGCCCACUGGUAUUCCGGUGGGCAUGCCUGUUCGAGCGUCAUUUCAACCAUCAAGCCCCAGGCUUGUGUUGGGGACCUGCGGCUGCCGCAGGCCCUGAAAACCAGUGGCGGGCUCGCUGUCACACCGGGCGUAGUAGAUUUUAUCUCGCUCUGGGCGUGCUGCGGGUUCCGGCCGUUAAAAAACCCUUUUAACCCAAGGUUGACCUCGGAUCAGGUAGGAAUACCCGCUGAACUUAAGCAUAUCAAUAAGCGGAGGA
rnacentral:misc_RNA from 1 species